GGAGCUUGCUCCUGGAUUCAGCGGCGGACGGGUGAGUAAUGCCUAGGAAUCUGCCUGGUAGUGGGGGACAACGUUUCGAAAGGAACGCUAAUACCGCAUACGUCCUACGGGAGAAAGCAGGGGACCUUCGGGCCUUGCGCUAUCAGAUGAGCCUAGGUCGGAUUAGCUAGUUGGUGAGGUAAUGGCUCACCAAGGCGACGAUCCGUAACUGGUCUGAGAGGAUGAUCAGUCACACUGGAACUGAGACACGGUCCAGACUCCUACGGGAGGCAGCAGUGGGGAAUAUUGGACAAUGGGCGAAAGCCUGAUCCAGCCAUGCCGCGUGUGUGAAGAAGGUCUUCGGAUUGUAAAGCACUUUAAGUUGGGAGGAAGGGCAGUAAGCGAAUACCUUGCUGUUUUGACGUUACCGACAGAAUAAGCACCGGCUAACUCUGUGCCAGCAGCCGCGGUAAUACAGAGGGUGCAAGCGUUAAUCGGAAUUACUGGGCGUAAAGCGCGCGUAGGUGGUUUGUUAAGUUGAAUGUGAAAGCCCCGGGCUCAACCUGGGAACUGCAUCCAAAACUGGCAAGCUAGAGUACGGUAGAGGGUGGUGGAAUUUCCUGUGUAGC
rnacentral:rRNA from 1 species